rnacentral:rRNA from 1 species
GCCUACCAAGACUAUGAUGUGUAGCUGGACUGAGAGGUUGAACAGCCACAUUGGGACUGAGACACGGCCCAAACUCCUACGGGAGGCAGCAGUAGGGAAUUUUCGGCAAUGGAGGAAACUCUGACCGAGCAACGCCGCGUGAACGAUGAAGUAUUUCGGUAUGUAAAGUUCUUUUAUUGAAGAAGAAAAAAUAGUGGAAAAACUAUCUUGACGAUAUUCAAUGAAUAAGCCCCGGCAAACUAUGUGCCAGCAGCCGCGGUAAUACAUAGGGGGCGAGCGUUAUCCGGAAUUAUUGGGCGUAAAGGGUGCGUAGGCGGUUUAAUAAGUCUAUAGUUUAAUUUCAGUGCUUAACACUGUCCUGCUAUAGAAACUAUUAGACUAGAGUGAGAUAGAGGCAAGUGGAAUUCCAUGUGUAGCGGUAAAAUGCGUAAAUAUAUGGAGGAACACCAGAGGCGUAGGCGGCUUGCUGGGUCUUUACUGACGCUGAGGCACGAAAGCGUGGGGAGCAAACAGGAUUAGAUACCCUGGUAGUCCACGCCGUAAACGAUGAGUACUAAGUGUCGGGAUUACUCGGUACUGAAGUUAACACAUUAAGUACUCCGCCUGAGUAGUACGUACGCAAGUAUGAAACUUAAAGGAAUUGACGGGACUCCGCACAAGCGGUGGAUCAUGUUGUUUAAUUCGAAGAUACACGAAAAACCUUACCAGGUCUUGACAUACUCUGCAAAGCUAUAGCAAUAUAGUGGAGGUUAUCAGGGAUACAGGUGGUGCAUGGUUGUCGUCAGCUCGUGUCGUGAGAUGUUAGGUUAAGUCCUAAAACGAGCGCAACCCUUGUCAUUAGUUGCCAGCAUGUCAUGAUGGGCACUUUAAUGAGACUGCCAAUGAAAAAUUGGAGGAAGGUGAGGAUCACGUCAAAUCAUCAUGCCCCUUAUGAUCUGGGCUACAAACGUGAUACAAUGGCUGUUACAAAGAGUAGCUGAAACGCAAGUUUAUAGCCAAUCUCAUAAAAGCAGUCUCAGUUCGGAUUGAAGUCUGCAACUCGACUUCAUGAAGUUGAAUCGCCUAGAAUC